UGGGGAAUUUUGGACAAUGGGCGAAAGCCUGAUCCAGCAAUGCCGCGUGUGUGAAGAAGGCCUUCGGGUUGUAAAGCACUUUUGUCCGGAAAGAAAUCCUUGGCUCUAAUACAGUCGGGGGAUGACGGUACCGGAAGAAUAAGCACCGGCUAACUACGUGCCAGCAGCCGCGGUAAUACGUAGGGUGCAAGCGUUAAUCGGAAUUACUGGGCGUAAAGCGUGCGCAGGCGGUUUGCUAAGACCGAUGUGAAAUCCCCGGGCUCAACCUGGGAACUGCAUUGGUGACUGGCAGGCUAGAGUAUGGCAGAGGGGGGUAGAAUUCCACGUGUAGCAGUGAAAUGCGUAGAGAUGUGGAGGAAUACCGAUGGCGAAGGCAGCCCCCUGGGCCAAUACUGAUGCUCAUGCACGAAAGCGUGGGGAGCAAACAGGAUUAGAUACCCUGGUAGUCCACGCCCUAAAACGAUGUCAACUAGUUGUUGGGGAUUCAUUUUCCUUAGUAACGUAGCUAAACGCGUGAAGUUGACCGCCUGGGGAGUACGGUCGCAAGAUUAAAAACUCAAAUGAAUUGACGGGGUCAUAGCUGUUUCCU
rnacentral:rRNA from 1 species